rnacentral:rRNA from 1 species
AGAGUUGAUCCUGGCUCAGGAUGAACGCUGGCGGCGUGCCUAACACAUGCAAGUCGAACGGGGUUAAGGGAAAUUUCGGAUGGAACUUAACUAGUGGCGGACGGGUGAGUAACGCGUGGAUAACCUGCCUCACACUGGGGGAUAGACAGCUGGAAACGGCUGGUAAUACCGCAUAAGACCACGGUGCCGCAUGGCACCGGGGUAAAAGAUUUAUCGGUGUGAGAUGGAUCCGCGUCUGAUUAGCCAGUUGGCGGGUAACGGCCCACCAAAGCGACGAUCAGUAGCCGGCCUGAGAGGGUGAACGGCCACAUUGGGACUGAGACACGGCCCAAACUCCUACGGGAGGCAGCAGUGGGGAAUAUUGCACAAUGGGCGCAAGCCUGAUGCAGCAACGCCCGCGUGAGUGAAGAAGUAUUUCGGUAUGUAAAGCUCUAUCGGCAGGGAAGAAAGGCCCGAAAGGGAGAUGACGGUACCUGACUAAGAAGCCCCGGCUAACUACGUGCCAGCAGCCGC